GACGAACGCUGGCGGCGUGCUUAACACAUGCAAGUGGAGCGACGAACCAGGGCUUGCCCUGGGGCAGAGCCGCGAACGGGUGAGUAACACGUGGGUAACGUGCCCCGAUGACUGGGACAACCCGGGGAAACCCGGGCUAAUACCGGAUGUGCCCCCUCACAUCAGUGAGGUGUGUAAAGGAAGCUUCGGCCUCCGCAUCGGGAUCGGCCCGCGGCCCAUUAGCUUGUUGGUGAGGUAACGGCUCACCAAGGCUGCGAUGGGUAGCUGGUCUGAGAGGACGAUCAGCCACACUGGGACUGAGACACGGCCCAGACUCCUACGGGAGGCAGCAGUGGGGAAUCUUGCGCAAUGCGCGAAAGCGUGACGCAGCAACGCCGCGUGGGGGAAGACGGCCUUCGGGUUGUAAACCCCUUUCAGUUGGGACGAAGGUCGGGCGGUUAACAGCCGUUCCGGCUGACGGUACCUUCACAAGAAGGCCCGGCUAACUACGUG
rnacentral:rRNA from 1 species